rnacentral:rRNA from 1 species
CAGCCGCCACGGGAAUACGAAGGGGGCUAGCGUUGUUCGGAUUUACUGGGCGUAAAGCGCACGUAGGCGGCUUUGUAAGUCAGAGGUGAAAGCCUGGAGCUCAACUCCAGAACUGCCUUUGAGACUGCAUCGCUUGAAUCCAAGGGAGGUGAGUGGAAUUCCGAGUGUAGAGGUGAAAUUCGUAGAUAUUCGGAAGAACACCAGUGGCGAAGGCGGCUCACUGGACUGGUAUUGACGCUGAGGUGCGAAAGCGUGGGGAGCAAACAGGAUUAGAUACCCCGGUAGUCCCUGUCUCUUAUAC